GACGAACGCUGGCGGCGUGCCUAAUCCAUGCAAGUAGGACGCAGUUGCGAACGGGUGAGUAACGCGUAGGUAACUGCCUAUUAGAGGGGGAUAACUAUUGGAAACGAUAGCUAAUACCGCAUACUAGUAGAUGGACCUGCGUUGUAUUAGCUAGUAGGUAGGGUAAUGGCCUACCAGGGCAACGAUAGUUAGCCGACUGGAGAGGGUGAGUGGCCACACUGGGCCUGAGACACGGCCCAGACUCCUACGGGAGGCAGCAGUAGGGAAUCUUCGGCAAUGGGGGGAACCCUGACCGAGCAACGCCUCGUGAGUGAAGAAGGUUUUCGGAUCGUAAAGCUCUGUUGUUAAGGAAGCGGUACUUAACCAGAAAGGGACGGCUAACUACGUGCCAGCAGCCGCGGUAAUUC
rnacentral:rRNA from 1 species